UGUCACUGCUGUGGGAAAGGCGGGUUUUGACUCCCAAAGGCGAAGAGGCUGGUCUUUGGUGCGGGUCUGCAGUUAAGAGUCCUGUGAAAGCGAAGGGUGAACAAAGCUGAGGAAGAACGAACUUUGGCAAGGAAAAGGAAAGGAAUGAUUCCCUGAAUUUUGCAUAAGAUGAUUUAAUCUCGUCCAACUGAAUGGGUCUCUCUUGGUUGAUCAAUGCGAUAAAGAAACUCUGCAGUGCCAAGGAAACCCAGGACCUCCUGCAUGCUGGG